rnacentral:siRNA from 1 species
CAUUUUGGGAAUGUGCCGAAC